GGAUGCAGAAUCCCAGAUGCACACAGCAUCAACAUCAAGAGGGAUUACAGUUUCACCUAAUCUGCUCACUGUAGCUCAGACUUGCUUGCUUUCCUGUUGAUCCUUUUCUUGGUCCUAUUAACUUGCUAUCCACUAUGACCUUUUAAGUCCUUUGCAGCACAGUUAGCCAGUUCCCAGCACUACUGGAACAUGGAUAUAUUCAUCCAAGUACAGAAUCUCAUAAUAUUUAUUUUGCUCAGUCCCACAGUCCUUCUGGAAAGACACUGUGCUACUUUAUGUGUAAACUACUUUUUUUAAUUUUAGUAUCAUCCACAGGUUUGGUGCAAAUGUAAGGUCAGUCAUGAAGACAUUGACCAACCCCAUCAAGACAUUGAUUAACUACCCUUUGAGCUCAUCAAUUUGACCCAGUUAAUGGCCUUAACACCUUUUUGUGUGUGUGUGUGCAGUCUAUGCCUCCUCUGGCUAUGAAUGAGAAUGCUGCAAGGACUAAAAAUUAGUAAAGGCUACACGCCUUUCUUCUGCUGGGGGCACCAGGCCUGGACAGAGUACUCCAGCUGGGGCCUCUUGAGGGCAAAAUAGAAGGGGACAAUCACUUCCCUCUCCCUGCUGCCACCUUUCUUUUGAUGCAGCCCAGGAUACCAUUGGCUUUCUGCAUGCAGAGAUUUCUGACAGAUAGAUUUCUCUCUGCUAUCCAUAGCCAUAUAAAAGAAGUUCCAGAAGCAGACAGAUCCUGUGAGAACUGUUGGAUAUGAGGAAUGACACAUUAUAUAAUGCAAUUGCCUUAUCCUGCAUGAGGAAGGUUGGCUAAGAUUGUACAACAAAGCAGUAUUAAAUGGGAAGUCAAAGUAAAUUAUCAUGAAGUUAUUUUUGCUGCAAUGUAAAUGAAAAAAAGACCUGAAAGUGAACAAGAAACAGAACCCAACUAAUGACUGAACUGGAGACGGUACAUAAAGAAGAACUGAACCACACAUUUUUUUCUGCUUGUCCUCCUGCAAACUGUAUGGGCGGUGAGUAUAAAAAGCACACAGUCUGAAAUUAGAGGCGGAAAGAAACCACACAACUCAGACUCAGACACUGAAUGCCACUUUGCAGUACAUUUCACUCCCUGGGAGAGUUCACUGACACCAGUUGCAUGGCUCAUGGAACCCAACCAGUAUGAAGUUGCUCUCAGCAGAACUUUGGUAGACCUAAACCCAACAUGACAUGUAUGAGCACGUUUACAGACACACUUCUCUCUCAGGUGA
rnacentral:lncRNA from 1 species